GGAAAAUGGAUCUGGACAUGUCAGUCUCUUCUUCCUGGUAACUGAUGAUAAGAAGUGAGGGAAGAGCACUAAGUCUUCUAUACUAUUCUUUAACUUUUGGUUAUCUCUUAAGUUGUCAGAUAAUUGGACUUGAUGAUAUUUGUUAGGUCCCUUUCAAAAGAACUAAUCUGGGCAAAUCCACCUCAGCCUCUUGGAUAUUUUUCAAUGACGACAGCAAAUCUCAGAUCAAAUCUG
rnacentral:lncRNA from 1 species